GGGAGGGAGGAAGCAGGAGCAUCUCUGAACUGUGGGCAAGGAGGGUGUGAACUCAGUGAGUCAGAGUCACUUCUCCUGGGGCCUCGCCUCUGACGUGCCUCCAUUCCAGGCAAGUGAAGACAUCCAGCCAUGGAGGGGGGGUCUACAUGAGCCCACGGCAGCCCGCUCCCUCUCCUCUGGACCGGACGCCACCAGAACCUCGUGCAGGGACACCCGUCCACACCUGACAGCCCACCCAGGUCCAUCUUCUUCAGGUUCUUGGCCUCCAGGACAAUGACCGUGGACCUGGGCUUGGGCCUGGCUCUUCUUGCCCGUUCGCCUUCCACAUCGCUUCCGGAGGAGACAGAAGCAGCAGCUGAAGACCACAAAGCCGGAGACCAGCACGAUCGUGGCCAGGGCCCAGGGGGGUACUGCAGAGG